GAGAAUUUCCCUUAGCCAUCAGAAGCCAUUUCAUCUUGAAAUGCCUGGGAGGUAAUUUCUUCAUCCUAGUACUGUCCUUAUCCAGCCAAUAAUGGAGUCAUAAAAGUGUACAAUAUUCUAGGCCUCCUGCUUCAGUUUUUGAGGACACAAUUUAAGCUCCAUUACUUACAUCUGGAGAGCUGCGUGUCUUUUUAUCACUAUCCUAGAGUAACUAAUGGAAACAGCUUCAGGAAACAGACUUAAAGAUGGGUUUCAUCGAUUGGAUUGAAAAUAUAUUUGAGAGCAUUGGAGAUAUCAUUCUUGCUGUGAGAGAUGGAAAUAAUACAUGUUGUGUGUUGGCAACAUGGUUAUUCAAAUAAUUACUGGUGGAAGCAUGAAAUAAAAGGAUGAAGAGAGAAACCCAAGACAGAGAGCAGGAUUGAAGAUGAAUCUGCAUAAACAAACUAUACUAAAAUAACCCCUGUCCUACUCCAUUUGUGCUGCUAUAACAAAAUACCAGAGACUGGGUAACUUAUAAAGAGCAAACAUUUAUUUCUUACAGUAUGCAAUCUGCAAAGUUUAAAAUCAAAGUAUCAGCAAAAUUGCUGUCUGGAGAUGGCUGCUCUCCACUUCCAAGAUGGAGCCGUGUUACUGCAUCCUCAGAAGGGGAGAAAAGCUGUGUCCUCAUGUGAUGGAAUGGAUGGAGGG
rnacentral:lncRNA from 10 species